rnacentral:rRNA from 1 species
UACGGGGGAUGCAAGCGUUAUCCGGAUUUAUUGGGUUUAAAGGGUGCGUAGGCUGUGAGGUAAGUCAGCGGUGAAAUGCCCCCCGCUCAACGGGGUGAAGUGCCAUUGAUACUGCCUUGCUGGAAUGCGGAUGCCGUGGGAGGAAUGUGUGGUGUAGCGGUGAAAUGCAUAGAUAUCACACAGAACACCGAUUGCGAAGGCAUCUCACGAAUCCGCGAUUGACGCUGUUGCACGAAAGCGUGGGUAUCAAACAGG